rnacentral:rRNA from 1 species
UGGGGAAUAUUGCACAAUGGACGGAAGUUUGAUGCAGCGACGCCGCGUGGAGGGUGUAGGCCUUCGGGUUGUGAACUCCUUUUUCUCGCGAAAAAGGCACAGUUUUGGCUGUGUUGAUGGUAGUGGGGGAAGAAGCGCCGGCUAACUACGUGCCACCAGCCGCGGUAAUACGUAGGGCGCGAGCGUUGUCCGGAUUUAUUGGGCGUAAAGAGCUCGUAGGUGGUUCGUCGCGUCUGUCGUGAAAGCCAGCAGCUUAACUGUUGGUCUGCGGUGGGUACGGGCGGGCUUGAGUGCGGUAGGGGUGACUGGAAUUCCUGGUGUAGCGGUGGAAUGCGCAGAUAUCAGGAGGAACACCGAUGGCGAAGGCAGGUCACUGGGCCGUUACUGACACUGAGGGGCGAAAGCGUGGGGAGCGAACAGG